rnacentral:rRNA from 1 species
UGAAUUUCUGUGUAGCGUGAAAUGCGUAGAUAUCAGAAGGACAUCAAUGGCGAAGGCAGCUUUCUGGACCCAAUACUGACGCUGAGGUACGAAAGCGUGGGUAGCAAACAGGAUUAGAUACCCUGGUAGUCCACGCCGUAAACGAUGAUAACUAGCCGUUGGGGGGAUUUACCCUUUAGUGGCGAAGCUAACGCGUUAAGUUAUCCGCCUGGGGAGUACGGCCGCAAGGUUAAAACUCAAAGGAAUUGACGGGGACCCGCACAAGCGGUGGAGCAUGUGGUUUAAUUCGAUGCAACGCGAAGAACCUUACCUGGUCUUGACAUCCUGCGAACUUUCUAGAAAUAGAUUGGUGCCUUCGGGAACGCAGUGACAGGUGCUGCAUGGCUGUCGUCAGCUCGUGUCGUGAGAUGUUGGGUUAAGUCCCGUAACGAGCGCAACCCCUAUCCUUAUUUGCCAGCACAUCAUGGUGGGAACUAUAAGGAGACUGCCGGUGAUAAACCGGAGGAAGGCGGGGACGACGUCAAGUCAUCAUGGCCCUUACGACCAGGGCUACACACGUGCUACAAUGGGAAGGACAAAGAGCCGCGAAGCCGCGAGGUGUAGCUAAUCUCAUAAACCUUUUCGUAGUCCGGAUUGGAGUCUGCAACUCGACUCCAUGAAGUCGGAAUCGCUAGUAAUCGUAGAUCAGAAUGCUACGGUGAAUACGUUCCCGGGUCUUGUACACACCGCCCGUCAUACCAUGGGAGUGGGUUGCACCAGAAGUGGCUAGUCUAACUUUAUUGAGGACGGUCACCACGGUGUGAUUCAUGACUGGGGUAAAGUCGUAACAAGGUAGCCCUACCGGAAGGUG